UGCGUAGGUGGCGAGGUAAGUCAGGUGUGAAAUCUCGGAGCUCAACUCCGAAACUGCACUUGAUACUGCCCUGCUGGAGUACUGGAGAGGAGAUUGGAAUUUACGGUGUAGCAGUGAAAUGCGUAGAUAUCGUAAGGAAGACCAGUGGCGAAGGCGAAUCUCUGGACAGUUACUGACACUGAGGCACGAAGGCCAGGGGAGCAAACG
rnacentral:rRNA from 1 species